UACGAAGGGUGCAAGCGUUACUCGGAAUUACUGGGCAUAAAGAGCACGUAGGUGGUCUGCUAAGUCGUGUGUGAAAUCCCCCGGCUCAACCGGGGAAUAGCGCUCGAUACUGGCAGGCUCGAGGUGGGUAGGGGUGAGCGGAACUCCAGGUGGAGCGGUGAAAUGCGUAGAUAUCUGGAGGAACACCGGUGGCGAAGGCGGCAUCCUGGACCGGUAUUGACGCUGAGGCGCGAAAGCUAGGGGAGCAAACGGGG
rnacentral:rRNA from 1 species